UACGGAGGGUGCAAGCGUUAAUCGGAAUUACUGGGCGUAAAGCGCACGCAGGUGGCUGAGUCAGUCGAUUGUGAAAGCCCUGGGCUUAACCUGGGAAUUGCAGUCGAUACUACUCAGCUAGAGUAUGGGAGAGGGUAGUGGGAAUUCCCGGUGUAGCGGUGAAAUGCGUAGAUAUCGGGGAGGAACAUCAGUGGCGAAGGCGGGCUACCUGGCCCAAUACUGACACUC
rnacentral:rRNA from 1 species